rnacentral:rRNA from 2 species
UGGGGAAUAUUGCGCAAUGGGGGAAACCCUGACGCAGCAACGCCGCGUGAAGGAUGAAGGUUUUCGGAUCGUAAACUUCUUUGAUUGGGGACGAAACAAAUGACGGUACCCAAGGAACAAGCCACGGCUAACUACGUGCCAGCAGCCGCGGUAAUACGUAGGUGGCGAGCGUUGUCCGGAAUUACUGGGUGUAAAGGGCGUGUAGGCGGGGAUGUAAGUCAGAUGUGAAAGCCCGUGGCUUAACUGCGGGACUGCAUCUGAAACUAUGUCUCUUGAGUGCUGGAGAGGAAAGCGGAAUUCCUAGUGUAGCGGUGAAAUGCGUAGAUAUUAGGAGGAACACCAGUGGCGAAGGCGGCUUUCUGGACAGUAACUGACGCUGAGGCGCGAAAGCGUGGGGAGCAAACAGG